UCUGAAUAUAAACUUUAGAACAAUAAGUGAAAGAUCGCAAUUGAUUGCACAUUAGAAAAGCAAGUCCUGAUAUUUAACUACAAGAAUUUGCUAAAUGUUUUCAAUCUGCAAUAUGUAUGGAACUACAACGCCUUUUUUACGAUAAAAUAAAUGGUCUUUUUCAGCUGUGCUAAUAAUUAUUUGGAUGAAAUAAUGUCAAAAUGUGUUCUACAAUUGUUUAAGAAGACUGGAACUUAUGGAAAUAGAUCAUUUUGAAAAAACUUCAUUGAGUAGAGUAAUUAUAGGAACAUUAAUGUCACAAACAACAAAAUUUGAUUUGGUCGAUAAGUUGAAAGGCAAUUGUUUGAAGAGAAUAAUAGAAUA
rnacentral:lncRNA from 1 species